rnacentral:lncRNA from 1 species
CUUAGCCGAAACUAAACAAGAGAAAAAGAAAGAAAACAUAGUUAUAUUCGGCAAUAUUGAAGCUUAAUUGAGGUUAGUUCUUUGUUCGGUUUUUGAUAAUUUUUACGUUUUUGGAAUCGUUACUUUGUGUCCUUCAAAACCCAUUUUUCAAUUUUGUGAAUUGAUGAUGAUUUUGGAAUAUGCCAUUGAUGAAUGUUUGAGUUUUAUGAUAUUAGUUGAUGAAAUAUGAAAUAUAGGUGUUAGAUUAAUAUGUUUUGUCUUUAAAUUUUUGGUGAAAUUGAAUAUAUAGGGUUAAAUUGUGAAAAUAAAUUUUUGAGGGACUAAAAUGUGAAAUAAAAGAAAUGUGUGGACUUGUAUGAAGUAUAGGAACAUUCGGCCCUAGCUUAGUGUGGGCAAAUUUUGUGUAUUUUGUGUUUUGUGCAAAAAGGACUAAAUUGCAAAAAGUGUAAAAUAUCAGGGGCAAAAUAGUAAUUUGCUCAUUUAUGUAUUUUUGGAUUUAAUUGGAUGUUUUGAUGAAUAAAAAGGUUAAAUUUGAAUAUGUUUAGAUCGAGAAACGAAGAAAACGGAUUUGGAUCGGGGAAAAACGAAAGUAGUUGAAUAGUCGAUCGUGUCCGCUGAUAUCCGAGGUAAGUCUAUUAGCUAUUUAAUUUUAUUAAAUUAGUAUAUGUGUAUGUAUAUCAAUUUUAUUUUUGUUGAGUUAAAUUUAAAAGUAUAAAAUUCGAAUUGAAAGUAUGAAAUUAUAUAUAUAUAUAUAUAUAUAUGUGUGUGUGAUAAGUUCGAAUGACUAUGAAUAUGCAAAUAUGCAUAUAAAUGUCCUUGUAAUAAAUUUAGGUAUGAAUAUAUAUAUAUAUAUAUAUAUAUAUAUGUAUAAAUUAUAUUCGAAUAUACGUGUGUAUACAUGUAAGUUUUGUUGUAUUGAAUUUAGGUAUGAAAUUACAAAGGUAUGAGAUAUAUUCGAACAUAUGCAUGUAUGUGUGAAUAAGGUGUGAAUUUAGUAUAAAAUAUUUGUAUAAGUUGGAGCAAAUAAGCAUGUAUACUUAUGAAUAAAUAUUUAUAUUGAGUAUAAGUUGAAAUUAUAUUUAUACAUAUAUAUAUAUAUGUUAAAUUUGAAUAUGUAUGAGUAUAUAGGUAUAUAUUCUUGUUUCGAAUAUAAGCAUAGAGUAAUAUAUAUUUGUUAGAUUCGAAUAUGUAUAUAUGUACAUGUAUAAGAUCUUGUAUUGAAAUGGUAUAUGAAAUUAUAUAGAUAUAUAUGGAAUUCAAAUGUUAAAAGUACAUAGUAUAUUAUAAGUUAAAUCUUAUGAUAUUAGUAGUGGAAUCUAAAGUAUGAGGUUAUAUAUAUAUAAAUGUGUUUCGGUUGAAUUAUUGAAUUAUUUAAGUUAGAUUUGAUGAUUGGGAUUUAUAUAUAUCCAUGUGUUUUAAAGAUAUAAGUUAUGAAUAUUGAACUGAAUUUUAUGUGGAUUUUAUAUACAAAUAUGAAAUACAACUUCUGUGAAUUGAGAUUCUUUUGUUAAAGCUCAGUACCAAUCGAAUUUAUUGCCAGUGAAAUUAUUCAGACUACACGUCUAGCAGGCUAAGUGCCGGUGAUCUGAAUCAGGUUAUAAACCUAGCAGGCUAAGUGCUGGUGAUCUGAAUCAGGUUAUAAACCUAGCAGGCUAAGUGCCGGUGAUCUGAAUCAGGCUAUAAGCCUAGCAGGCUAAGCGCCGGUGAAUCUAUUAAAUUAAGUGAUUAUAUGCAUUUGAUAUAUAUAUAUAUAUGAUUUUGGUUAUAUGUAUAGGCUAGAUAAUAUUUUGGGAGUCGUACUUUAAUGUACUGUAUAUAUAUAUAUAUAUAUAUAAUUAAUAGCCAUAUAUAUAUAUAUAUAUAUAUAAUUAAUAGCCAUACGAAAUUAGCUUAUUUUUCUUAUGGUUUAACUGAACAGAAAUGUUAUGUUUUGUUAUAAAAGGUUAAAGUAGAAUUUAUAAUUAUACUUACUUAAUAUUUGACUAAUUUAACAUAGAUGUAAAAUUUUUGAAUUCUACUGAAUGUCUGUGUUAAGUUGUGUUUUGUCAGGUAACGCCUCGUAACCCUAAUUUAUCGACGUAUACAGGUUAGGGGUGUUACAGGGGUAGUCUAUGUCCACAACUAGCUUUACAAAUGCGGUGUUGAUAAGUGAUAGGAGCUCAUAACAUUGUUGAAUCCAUAAGAAGGACGAGAUUUCUAAUCCAGGUUUUAAAUUCAAGGCAAUUGGAAACAUCAGAUCGAAAAGCCCGUACAGCAGCUGACAAAACAUCUGCCUCUGAUUGUUGGCGGUGGUUCUUAGAGGUGCUCAUGGGCCGGGCGGCUCGGCCCGGCCCGACGGCCCGCCCGAAAUAUGGGAGGGUUUGGGUAAAAAUAUAGGCCCGAAAUAUGGGCUUGGGCAAAAAAACGAGGCCCGUUUAGAAAACGGGCAGGGCCUCGGGCACCACUUUUUUGGCCCGGGCCCGACCCGGCCCAGCCCAACCCGAUAUAAUAAAUAUAUUUAUUUUUUAAAUUUUUUUAAAUUUUUAAAUAUUUUUAAAAUAAUUUUUUAUUAUUUUUUAAUUUUAAAAUAUUUUUAAAAUACUUUUUAAAAUUUUUUAAUUUUAAAAUAUUUUUUUUAAUUUUUAAAAUAAAUUUUUGGUAUUUAUUAAAAAAAUGAGCCGGACAGGGCUGGGUCCGGGCUUAUGAUUUUUUCCCGGGCCGGGUCUGGGCAAAAUUUUAGGCCCAUAUUUCGGGCCGGGCUGAAAUUUUUUAUGGGCGCGGCCCGAACCCGGCCUGGCCCAUAAGCACCUCUAGCGGUUCUCCAGCUUGGAGUAUAAUUUGGUAAGCUUUUCAACCAAGAGUAGCAUUGCCUAACACAAAAACAACUUGUCCUGAUGAGCUAAGAGGGUGGUAAGCUUUUAUUUAUUAACGCAAGAGAAGGGGUUUUGCUUAAUUGCAUUAGCUGGACAGAAGAGGCGUGUGCUGCACUGCUUUCUGUACCAUUGAAAAUUCGAACCCAAGAAGAAGGUAUCAAUUUUGGCGACGACGUAAUCAAUGUGCUUAGAGUUCAAUAAAUAUAAAUGUUUAUCCAACGCGGCUUUUGGGGUUGGAAGCAAUCCUGGCUGAGGCUGGAAGGAUGGAGGAAAGUGCAGUGCCAGCGCUAUCAAGUAUGCUUCUGAGAUGCACUUUUCUGCGUAUCUGGCUUCACCUUAUGAUUUUAUAUUAUGGUGUUCGUCGGCUAAAAGAUGGUUGUGAUUGGUUGAAGAAGGCCCAUAUUGACCCAUGUUGAAGCUUCUGAUCUGAAUAAAGGCUUUAGAAUAGUAUUCAAAUUGAAUUUCCAUGGAGUGAAGGCAGCCCAAUAACAUGGUACGGGUGGGUGGCUACACUCCUAAGUCUGCUCUAAUUUUUCACUCGUAUAUGGGAACAAUCCUUUAGCCCAUUUCCGAAGAUAUUAUCGAAUCAAACCAAUUGUUAGCUUAGAUUGACAUAUGAAUAUUGCUUGGUAUUGUUUCUAUGAGGUGGGGAUGGUCAUUGUAGACACACUGGAUAUGUUUUAGGACAGUUUGGACUUAAGAAAAUCAAAUACAAAAACAAAACAAAGCAACUCUGAACAAUAUUGCAAGUGGGCAAUUGGCAAAGAAGGAUUUGAAGUA